rnacentral:rRNA from 1 species
GAUGAACGCUGGCGGCGUGCUUAACACAUGCAAGUCGAACGGAAAGGCCCAAGCUUGCUUGGGUACUCGAGUGGCGAACGGGUGAGUAACACGUGGGUGAUCUGCCCUGCACUUCGGGAUAAGCCUGGGAAACUGGGUCUAAUACCGGAUAGGACCACAUUUUGGAUGGUGUGGUGGAAAGUUUUUCGGUGUGGGAUGAGCUCGCGGCCUAUCAGCUUGUUGGUGGGGUAAUGGCCUACCAAGGCGUCGACGGGUAGCCGGCCUGAGAGGGUGUACGGCCACAUUGGGACUGGGAUACGGCCCAGACUCCUACGGGAGGCAGCAGGGGGGAAUAUUGCACAAUGGGCGCAAGCCUGAUGCAGCGACGCCGCGUGGGGGAUGACGGCCUUCGGGUUGUAAACUCCUUUCGCUAGGGACGAAGCGUUUUUGUGACGGUACCUGGAGAAGAAGCACCGGCUAACUACGUG